rnacentral:lncRNA from 10 species
GGUUGGUCUCGAUCUCCUGGCCUCAAGCGAUCCUCCCAUCUUGGCCUCCCAAAGUGCUGGGAUGACCAAUGUGAGCCAGCACCAUUGGCACCUCUCAACCAGGCCCUCUCUCAUCAAAUAGUUAACCUGCCUCCCAAGCCUACUCAGAUAUCACUGCGGCCAGAACCAAUGAGAUGGAUGGAUGGAUGUCAACAGGGCACUUCACAACAAAGGAAUGUGGCCUACAGCACAACUCACCCCAGCCCAGCCCUCCUAGCAGGUAGAUUGCCCAGCCCUUGGGCAAUCCCAGGCUGCUCUGCAACACAGAUGACCUCUUGAGGGACUUGCCUCCUGUUACCUGCUGAGCAGCGAGUCCCACACCUAAGUGAGGUGGAGGAGAGGCACCACCAUCAGUCCUCAUGAAUCACUGGCCAGGCUCCUUCUCUUUGUCCCUCCCCAACAAAUGCCAAGCAUCUGCACUAAAGCAAGACUCUGGCUUGACCCCAGCCUCAAAGGGAAAAUGGGGUUUGCACAUGGACUUUCGGCUCCAUUCAUGAAAGCAUAGAUACGUGUGAUUAUAACAAGGAUAUGAGCUUGGAUGCAGCAGGCUGUUAAACACCAUGCCAGGAGGACGCCACUCCAUUUAACCCCUGAGGCCACUGUGGGGCCAGCUGUGAGUCAGGCUUUGACCUUGGCCACCUUCCUAAUUUAGAGUGGCAGCUGCCCACCCAAAUUAGCUGCCCCACGUUCAGCCUCAGCUCUGCUGUUCAAAUGCCUCUAUCUACUUAGGUUCUUUGGAAAACAAUUCUGAGGUUGUUUUCUUUUCUUUUUUGUUUUUUGUUUGUUUGUUUUUGUUUUGUUUUGAGGCAAGGUCUCACUCUGUCGCCCAGGCUGGAGUGCAGUGACAUGAUCUCAGCUCACUGCAGCCUUGACCUCCCAGUCUCAAACAAUCUUUCCACCUCUCAGCCUCCUGAGUAGCUGGGGGAGUACAGGUGUGCACCACCAUGACUGGCUAAUUUUUUCCAUUUUUGUAGAGAAAAGUUUUGCCAUGUUGCUCAGGCUGGUCUCGAACUCCUGGACUCAAGCUAUCAAUCCACCCACCUUGGUCUCCCAAAGUGCUGGGAUUACAGGCAUGAGCCAUUGCACCUGGCUUGUUUUCUUGUUUAACUGUUUUUAAGCCAUAUAUGUUCAAACAGUGCAAACUAUGGUGAAAAGUAAGUCUCCCUCUCACCCUUAACCUCCGUCCUCUGCCUCCCUCCUCUGAGGGAAUCAUUGCCACCAGUGGCUGGAGGGUCCUUCCCCAGAAUAGUCCCCACAUACAAGCCCACACCCCAAAAUGCCCGCUUCCCCCACCAUGGGAGUCCAGAGCACAGUUCACAUGCUAUCCUGUGCUUUGCUUUUCACACUUCACCCUGUUGGAAAGCUCUCCACGUCAUGCAUACACACUUGUCCUUCUAUGGUUGUACUUUUUUCAAAGAGUGGACCCAACUGAUUGAACCAGUUCCCUAUUAACAGGUAAUCGAGUUAUUUCUAGUCUUUUGUGACCACCAUACUUCCAAGAAUGCCCUUAUACCUAGAUCUUUUAUCUCAUUAAAGGUGGUAGUGACUAUUCCUAAAAGUGGAACUGCCAGUGUUUUUAAAUGUUUAAAUUUAAAUUUAAACAUUAAAAAAUAUUGGGUUAGGAACCACCACUCUUUUGAAAAUUUCACGUAAAAUACCAGUUCUUUCUCGAGAAACAAACAAAACAAAACAAAAUAAACUAUGUGAUGAUUUUGCAUUCAGUUACUAGAGGGAGGCUCAUAGAUGGCACAUUAAGAAGUCUUGGUAGAGAGGAAGAGAACAGGUGCAGGAAAAUUGUAUCCGACCCUCACUUCCCUGUGUGCAUAAGUGUUUUGAUUUGGUCAUCACAGAGGAAGCUGACAGUUUGUUCUGCUGAGACACACAGUGGAGUUCAGUUCUGAUUCCAAAAGUCAGAUUCCUGAUCAUAUUCUGCCACUAGAGUACAUACCUCUCACCGUGGUCAUACUCUGGACCUCGGACUCCCAGAAUGUGGCUGCUGAGCAGAAGUGCGUCUGGGGCUGCUCCACACGGUGCUGCGCUGGGACACUGGGGCCUGCUGCAGACCCUCCCUGCAGCUGCUGCCUUGGGACUGUGAAACCAGAGUCUGCUAGGAAGGCUCUGCAACUCACACGCUCAGUUAGGCUUUAAUAUUUUAUGCCAGCUGCCAAUAAGGACUCAGGUGACAAGAGUCACUUCAGGAAAGGAGCGUGCAGAAAGCAUGGACCCCGUCAUCUCUCAUUCAGGGUCCGCAUCAGACUAAAGCGAUCCCACAAGAGAAAAGCUAAAAGGAAGCAGAGCCGUGAACAGCCUGUGGCUGGUGGGAGCCUGGCGUCAGCGAGCUCAGGGUCUCACUUCAGUGACUUGGCAGCCAGUAGCUUCCCUUGGGCCAUGGCCACAGGCCACAUCUCAGUGUCUGGUUGGCUCUACGUCCAAGGCCACUGCCGGCUGCAGAGACGUGGUGAGGGCUGAGGCCAGACAGCUGAGGGCCCUGGCUGACCUGCUGGCCCAUUCACCUGAACAAGGUUCACCCAGGGCAGUUUCCACAAAUCCGGAGCAGAGCCAGAGAGCCAGCCCAUGCCUGGCACAGAGGAGACGCUCAACACCUGUCAUCCCUUCCCUUCUCCUGCCUGUCCCUCAGAGUUCCUGGAGCUUCCGUUCUGCUGAGCCUCAUGCUGCCCAUGCGACACAUCACGACCAUUUUCAGGACCACAACCUCCCUGUCCCAUGGCCGUUUUCUGAGGUCUAGAAGUCACCCCCUUGGGCUUAAGCAACCACGAGGCCAUGGAUGGUCACAAAUUUCCCUGGGCUGCACUCCACAAACCCUCCAGUGGGCACAGCACGUGUCUCUCACAUUUUGGAGAGAAAGGAACUGAGAACUCCCAUUUCUGGAACCCCAUGCCAGUUCUAGAAGGUUCCAUCCUGAAGAUGAAAGCUGAUUUGUCAUCUGUGGUGUGUCCCAAGAAAAGAAAAAUACCUCAUUUUGUACUGAGCACUAACUACACACCAGGUGCCUAUUGAAGCCUCUGAGGCAUUACUCAUAUCUGGAAGAAUCAUCCCAGACUGCAAUGAAUAAUUCAAAUCUGAAUCAUACCAAGCAACAUGACACGAUCUGGAAAGCUUUAGGGAAUGUAAGUGCUGUCAUCAGCUGGGAGAUUUCAUUUUCUAGGAUUAAUUGAAGUUGCUGCCACCAUCUCUACAGCGAGAGUGUCAAAAGUGAGUAACGGACUGAUCCCUGCUGGCGAAUGGGGUUUCUCAGGAUGACAGGCAGAGGAUGCUCCUACCGGGCUGUUCCUCCUGGCAGAGGCAGAAACGCUAGCAGCUCCUGGCCAGUAAGUCCAUUUCCCUUCUAUCUGUUCUGAGAUAAUGGCAUUGCAUUGGAAUUGAAUAGAGUCUGGGGAAGAUAAGCACUAACUACCUUAAUGGGCAUCUAGCCCCCUACUGUGAUUGCCCGCAAAGGAAAACCGCGUCCCAAGCUCAGCUCAGAACCAUGGCAAUUCUCAGCUGAACAGCUCGGGCUGCCCUCCUUUCUUUGUUUUUUUGUUUGUGUACGUUGUUGUUGUUUGCUUUUGUUUCUGCUGCUGUUUUGUAGAGAUGGGGUCUCAAUAUGUUGCCCAGGCUGGUCUUGAACUCCUGGUCUCAAACAAUCCUCCCAUCUCAGCUUCCCAAACUGCUGGGAUUGCAGAUGUGAACCACUGUGCAGGGCUAUCUUUUAGUUUUUUUGAGACAGGGUCUCACUGUGUCCAGCUCACUGCAGCCAGAAACUCCUGGGCUCAAGCCAUCCUCCUGCCUCAACCUCUCCAGUAGCUGGGACUACAGGUGCACACCAUCACGCCUGGCUAUUGUUUUUUUGUUUGUUUUUGUUUUUGUUUGAGAUGAGGUCUCGCUAUGUUGCCCAGUCUGCUCUCCAACUCUUGGCCUCCAGUGAUCCUCCUGCU